ACGGAAGGCAGCAGUGGGGAAUAUUGGGCAAUGGGGGAAACCCUGACCCAGCAACGCCGCGUGAAGGAAGAAGGCUUUCGGGUUGUAAACUUCUUUUACCAGGGACGAGGGACGUGACGGUACCUGGAGAAAAAGCCCCGGCUAACUACGUGCCAGCAGCCGCGGUAAUACGUAGGUGGCAAGCGUUGUCCGGAUUUACUGGGUGUAAAGGGCGCGUAGGCGGGAUUGCAAGUCAGAUGUGAAAUCCAUGGGCUCAACCCAUGAACUGCAUUUGAAACUGUGAUUCUUGAGUAUCGGAGAGGCAAGCGGAAUUCCUAGUGUAGCGGUGAAAUGCGUAGAUAUUAGGAGGAACACCAGUGGCGAAGGCGGCUUGCUGGACGAAAACUGACGCUGAGGCGCGAAAGCGUGGGGAGCAAACAGGCUUAGAUACCCUGGUA
rnacentral:rRNA from 1 species